CGUAAUAGCUCACUGGUCGAGUCGGCCUGCGCGGAAGAUGUAACGGGGCUAAACCAUGCACCGAAGCUGCGGCAGCGACGCUUAUGCGUUGUUGGGUAGGGGAGCGUUCUGUAAGCCUGUGAAGGUGUGUCGUGAGGCAUGCUGGAGGUAUCAGAAGUGCGAAUGCUGACAUAAGUAACGAUAAAGCGGGUGAAAAGCCCGCUCGCCGGAAGACCAAGGGUUCCUGUCCAACGUUAAUCGGGGCAGGGUGAGUCGACCCCUAAGGC
rnacentral:rRNA from 1 species